UUGUGGUUUUCAAAGAAUAAUACACUUGGAAAGUGAAAAUCGUUAUUCAGAUUCCUUAUUCGAAAUAAGAAUGUGGAACAUAAUACAGUCUCAAUUUCAACAUUAGAUUGUAAACGCUAUUACUGUUUUUAAAACAAGAUAAUUCUUCAAGAGAUUCUGCGAAAAUUGAUCAGGAAUUUCUUCAAAUGAAGCUUUUAAUGUUGCCUCAGGACUUUCUCGAAGACCAUCCCGAACUGAUGAUAAGAGUCUAACAAAAUUCGCAACCUGGAUGCUCUUGGUGGAGAAAGUUGAAGUGAUCCGUGUCCUGAGAAAGGGUGCCCCAAAAACCUUGGAUUUUCGUCAAAUCGAGCCUUCGGACAGAAAAAGUCACUCUUGUCUGGGCGUAAUUUUGUGUUCUACAGCAUGAGACCAGGUAGACCGUUCAAUCUCAGAUAGAUUUCCAGGUACACCUAAUAACAAUGUUCCUUGUAUUUCGAAAACAUUGAGAUUUUGCACUAUGAUAUAGGUUUCUAAGAUCAUGUUCGACCAGAAUUACUCUUUAAAUGCACUUCAUUUCAGUAUUUACUAGUGGAUAGGCGCGCAUAAGCUCACCUCAAGGAUCAGAAUUUCAAACAUUCACAACUUUUGACACAAUGAUCGGAUCUUCUAAUUGCUAUGUUUGACCCAGUGGCUGACAUAGUAUAACCAAUUAGCUGAUAUUGGGUGUCAGCUAUUGGAAAAUAUAAAUCAAUAGCAUUGAAAUGAAUAUGAAUGUGAAAUCACUCUCAUUAAUGAGUUGUUAUUGCGGAUGAAAUUAGCAUUAAUUGGUUUUAACACAGUCCCUAGAUGUCACUAUGCGUCAGCUACUGGUGACAAGGUCUAUAGAAAUAGUUAAGGUUUUAUAGACCUUGACUGGUGAAUGUGCUGAAAACAAAAUAAAUUUUGUUUUGUUAUUGUUUCAAAAUAAUUAUUACUUCAUAAUAUUUUAGGAUACACUCAACUUGAAGUUUUCUUAAGAAAUUCUUUAGACCAAUGGAUGAUUUUCGAGAAUUUUUA